UGUACCUACGUGUGAAAUAUUUGGAAUAUUUUUCCUUCGUCGUUUAUUGUGAAUGUGUGUGUGUGUGGUUCUAGUUCAUCUUUUUUCUUUUUUUAAAAAAACGAGUCAUGCAGUUGCGAUGUAUUGUACUUUGUACGUUAGUUUUCUUAGAUUUGGAUUCGUUUCUUUUGCAUUGUACGACUUGAAGAUGAAAAUCUGAUCAUUGGUUAGUAUUUACUUUGACUGAUUGCGUUAAUGAAUCAAUAUACCGAAGGAUCUAGUUGACCUUUCAAGUAAACUAAAAUUUACUAUGUUAAUCGUACGUAGUACGUACAUAUACCAUCUGUUAGCCGUCAAUUAAUCAUUUAUUUUUCAUUGUAGAAAGUUUCCAUUCAAAGUUUCAAAUAUAAUUACGACGAAAACGACCAUUAAAACAAUUGUAUCCCAUAACGAGUUGAGUACAUUGCAAGACAUUUGUACUCUUUUGCAGACUCAUGGCAUGUAAUAUUGUUGAUGGAUCGCAUCCAAAAAAUUUAUCGCGAAGAAUUUGGCAGAACGCCUACACCUAAAUAUAUUUCAUCAAUACCUAUCUAUAAACUGGAAAAUCAACGUUAUCAAAAGCUGUUUACGAAUCUCAACAACACAUUCCAUCAAGUAACAUCAGAAUCCAAAAAUACCCUCGACCUUGAAACAAUUUGAGAAGAAUGUAGGAUAGUAUAUCGAAAAAUACAAAAUUUCCACUUGAAUGAACAUAGUGUGCCGCCAGAGUUCCAAAUUUAGACCAACGUACUCACUUCGAUCUAAAAAUACCCCAUUGACGUUUAUCGAACUGGUGGGCGAAAGUUUUCACGAGUUUGUCGCUCUUCUCUUCCGGUUACGUCAAAGUUUACUCAAUUUUUUACUCAUUAGUUCGUAUAUACUCGCUACUCGGCGACCAAGAAUUUGUUUGCGAAUGAAGCUUUUUCACAAUUCUA